GACGAACGCUGGCGGCGUGCCUAAUACAUGCAAGUAGAACGCUGAAGAGAGGAGCUUGCUCUUCUUGGAUGAGUUGCGAACGGGUGAGUAACGCGUAGGUAACCUGCCUGGUAGCGGGGGAUAACUAUUGGAAACGAUAGCUAAUACCGCAUAAAAUGGAUUAUCGCAUGAUAAUCCAUUGAAAGGUGCAAAUGCAUCACUACCAGAUGGACCUGCGUUGUAUUAGCUAGUUGGUGGGGUAACGGCUCACCAAGGCGACGAUACAUAGCCGACCUGAGAGGGUGAUCGGCCACACUGGGACUGAGACACGGCCCAGACUCCUACGGGAGGCAGCAGUAGGGAAUCUUCGGCAACGGACGGAAGUCUGACCGAGCAACGCCGCGUGAGUGAAGAAGGUUUUCGGAUCGUAAAGCUCUGUUGUAAGAGAAGAACGAGUGUGAGAGUGGAAAGUUCACACUGUGACGGUAUCUUACCAGAAAGGGACGGCUAACUACGUG
rnacentral:rRNA from 1 species